GGGAAUCCUCUUUAAAGCACAGUUGACAAUGGAUUUCCUCUAAGCCCCCGUCUACACUGGGCCAUGAGCUUCAAUACUGAGGACCAUUAUGAGGCUGGAAUAGGAAAUACACAGCCUCUUCUUCUUUGAGACCCAGGAGGAGGUGACAGGCUUGAGGAACCCUCGUGCUGAGGCAGAAGGAUCCUCUGAGUAACAUCAAUUUCUCACUCAUUCAGGCCUGCAUGGAGCCUCAGACAGAUGAGGCCUGCCAAGAGCAACUGGACUCAGGGCAACUGACCAGCAGGCGAGGACACUGUGUCGGUGAUGGGAAACACCAGGGACAGGAAGCUGAAAGGACCCACGAAAAAGAGAUGCUGGCAUUCUCCAACCUCCCUCCCGUUGCUACAAGUAACAAGUGACAAUGGGAAGAGGAAAAGGCCUAGAGAAGACUGAGGUAGAAUAAAGGCCUGGUCCAGCUGAGGGCUUCACUCAGGAACCCAGGCUGCUUUUGUCAGUCUCAAAAGCUACUAAAAACCAAGCCAACCAAGAAGUUUUUAGGAGCUCUAAAUUAUAAAUAAUGGGAGACAGCAGA